UGGGGUGGGGGUCCGAGACCCUUCAAUGAGAGAACAAAACCCUUUCAUAAACACACACACUCAAGUUCACCCCUUACAACUGCCCCUAUUUUCACACCCCUACAAAAAAAGGUUUGAAAAGUGGAGGGUGCAAGAGUGCACUGGGUGCACAGCACACGUAUUUGUCCUUAUUAGUACAUAGCUAAUUGCUAAAAUGUUAGGAUCAUGAAUCCGAAUAAACGGAAAGGGAUUUCUUUUCUGUAUUUUACUUUUUCUGCAUUACGUGACUUGAUUUGUGACUAGUGUCUUUCAAAUUUAUCAGAAAUAUUACACACAAAUGAGUAAGCCAACAGGUCAAGGGUUUAAUGUAAUGCAAGAGACUGAAUAAUCACAUACUGCGUACAACAAAACAAAAAAAACUUCUACUUUCGGUGAUCCAACGAUUGUUGUCUGCCAUAACCGACUUUGCUGACUCAGCAAUUUUCAGCUUAUUUUUUUUCUUUUACAAUGAUGUCCUCUUCAACUCCAUCAAAUUGCAAAUUGCAAAACAAAACCACACGUCUAUUUAGAGAGAAGACAGAUAUAUCCUUCUCACGCCAACAGGAAACUCAAAGAACGAGCUAAUCAAAUUAAAAUUCUAUAUCUUUUUAUUGAGCGUAUUGAAUGUAAUUUGCAGCCCUGCGGUGUGUCUAUUUCAAGAGUUGUUUAGGCUGAAAUGCGAAGGCAGAAGGUUUAAUUUGAUUCAGAGAUUCUAACUAUGAAUGGAGAGUGUGGUAAACUUCAGUAGCAACCUCUUGUCGUCACACUUGCAUUAUGAGAUGAUACACAACCCAUGCCAGGAAUCUUGAAAUCAGAAAUUAGUCAGAACUGCUGCACAAAAUGUGCUGAGGCCGUAAAUAUAGGUCUGCAUUUGUUGUGUGUGCUUUCCCAUUGAAAAUAGCUUUGUAUAUGCAUAAGGAACCUUGAAAGUGUGCAUUCAGUUAAUCAUAUACUUCCAAAAGCAUCACGCUUCAUGUAUUUGACUAAUCCAUGCUGUAUUCGCUCAGCUUCUUUUUUUACGCAGCCCUGUAAUAUUUAUAUGGAAUCUAGCAAUAACUAAGUUGAUGUUCGUGAUAAGGUUAAUUUUAUUAUAAACAAAUGUUAAAUGUGGAUUAUUAACACGUGACCCUGGACCACAAAACCAGUCAUAAGUUGUAGCAAUAGCCAAUAAUACACUGUAUGGGUCAAAAUUAUAGAUUUUUCUUUUAUGCCAAAAUCAUUAGGAUAUUAAGUAAAAAUCAUGUUCCAUUAAGAUAUUUAGUAAAUUUCCAACUGUAAAUAUAUUAACACUUAAUUUUUGAUUAGUAAUAUGCAUCGCUAAGAACUUUAAAGGCGAUUUUCUCAAUAUUUAGAUUUUUUUGCACCCUCAGAUUCCAGAUUUUCCAAUACUUUUAUCUCAGCCAUAUCCUAACAAAUCACACACGAAUGUAAAGCUUAUUUAUUCAGCUUGAUUUUUAAAAAAUUGACCCUUAUGACUGAUUUUGUGGCCCGGGGUCACAUGUAGUCAGAUCAUAAAAAACCUAAGAUAAAACAUGUAAGAUUAUCAGUAGUACACAUCUAUUGGCAGCAAGCUUCAUUUGGCUUAUUAUCGCCUUGAUAUUGCUGCAUAUGAAUGUUAAUUAGUAGUAAAUCACCCGAAAUACCAGAAAUGGGGUAACUCUUGUGUACUACAGAGUGUCUGUGUGUGGAUAAGUGGGCAGCAUUAAGAUUUGGGCGUUCAAGUGUGUCACAAAGCAGUUGCUGAGGAAAAAACCAGGUCAUAUCUCCCUCUCUUUCUGAGCAGAAUGGAUAUUUUACAACACCACUGAGACUGAACUAUCAGUUUGCAUAGGGCGUAUACAGAAGAACACCUUACAUAAGUUUCUCUAUAGGGAGCUGGCAGGGAAGUACUCGAUGAAAUAGCUUAAAUGACAAGCAUUAAAUAGCCAAAGGCUACUUUUUAUUUUUCGAGGCUUCUCGUGUCCUUAUCUGUCCCGAUUUGGGUGCUUCCCCUCAACUGGCAGAGGCAAACGCGCUUCUCUCCUCAGAACACAUAGACGUUUUUAAACGUGCAGUUUCAGCGAAUAUAAGAUUGUUUCGUGUCGUUUUGAUGAUAAUGAAAAAAAUGUUUCUUCCAGUAAAAUCUUUCUAUCUCCCACCUUCAAAACCGCUCUCCAAGUCCAUGUUCCCGGCAUGCACAUGCGAGCUGGGGGCGGCUCUUACGAUUUGAAUGAGGAGAGUCACUUUCGGCGCCAUUUUCGAGUGAGCGGCGAUAACAUCAACACUGAGCGCGCGCACAGAGGGACAGUGCGCGCGACGCUUCGUCUUAAAAAAUAACACUUAUUAUCUGAAUGAGGGAAAAACGGCUCGGUCGGAUCACGUUUAGAGAGUAAAAUCGCCCGCGAUGUAGUGUCGACGAGCACAGAAGUGACCAAUACGAAGCGAUUGUGGAGCCGAAGGAGAAAAGGGGGCUAUCGUUCAGCUGCGUAUAUGGGAAAACCUGCGAUUUUUAAAAAAUAAUACAUAAAAAUAUCGCUCGAUGCAGGGAAAAAUAUAGAAAAAUUCUGGAAAAUACCCGAGGGUCUUAGGAGUGGGAUUCAGCGCGGCGGUGGUGAAGAUUGUGUCUUUUUGGUCUUUUUUCACGUCGCUUUUUGAGCGGGAGUAACGGACGAGCUGCUGGCGCAGAUACACGCAGUUCAGUCCGAGUCUGUGAUGCAUCAGACACUCAACUCAGAUUAUACAGGAGACAUCAACCAUUUUAGCCGGAAAGGAAUGUCGAGCACACGGCAUGACACUGAGCUGUGACACAGUCAAGUAACUGUUGCGAAACGAGGAGCGUGUAUGUGCGGCUGUGUGGGCGCGCGCAUCGCGUGAGUGCGUGUGCGCGCGCUCUGUGCGGGGCCUGUCGGUACUGUAGCAGCACAGAAUGGUUUGUGAGUUAUA